rnacentral:lncRNA from 1 species
GCAUUUAUGUUAUUUUUGGAGCUCACAUCAGGCUGUACCAGUUGACACUCUCAUGGGUAACAAACGGACGCCCUCUUUGCACCCAUUCCUGAGCAGUAACGUGGACAGUUCUCAGUGCUCAUGAGCCUCACAUGUUUCUCCCUGUGCGGAUGCACGCUCGUUGAUGGAACUGUGUGUGUGCACGCGUGUGUGCACCGCAGUCCCAGCCCGAGCGCAGCAGGCCUCGUCUGUGACCCCUAGCACGACAGGGUGCCUUGUGUCCUUGCCCAUUUAGCUGUGUGGGGUCCCUCGUGUGUUCUUACUGGUCUGUGUGGUGCUUUGCACAGUUGUCACUAAGCAAAAAGCCUUUAAGGGGGAGAGGUGCGCUGGCCGCUGCCUCUGUGUUAUCGUCCCCAUGACCUGGUGAAGCCUGGAUGCCCCAC